GACGAACGCUGGCGGCGUGCCUAAUACAUGCAAGUUGAGCGCUGAAGGUUGGUACUUGUACCAACUGGAUGAGCAGCGAACGGGUGAGUAACGCGUGGGGAAUCUGCCUUUGAGCGGGGGACAACAUUUGGAAACGAAUGCUAAUACCGCAUAAAAACUUUAAACACAAGUUUUAAGUUUGAAAGAUGCAAUUGCAUCACUCAAAGAUGAUCCCGCGUUGUAUUAGCUAGUUGGUGAGGUAAAGGCUCACCAAGGCGAUGAUACAUAGCCGACCUGAGAGGUGGUUGGCCACCUUUGGACUGAGACACGGCCCAAACCCCUACGGGAGGCAGCCGGAGGGGAACCUUGGGCAAUGAAGAAAGUCUGAACGGGCAAAGGCGGGUGAGUGAAGAAGGGUUUUGGAUUGUAAAACUUCGUUGGUAGGGAAGAACGGUGGUGGGAGUGGAAAGCUCAUCAAGUGACGGUAACUACCCAGAAAGGGACGGCUAACUACGUG
rnacentral:rRNA from 1 species